rnacentral:rRNA from 1 species
CUAUGGUUAAGGAACUCGGCAAAAUGCCCCCGUAACUUCGGGAGAAGGGGGGCCGGAAUACCGUGAACACCCUUGCGGUGGGAGCGGGAUUCGGCCGCAGAAACCAGUGGGUAGCGACUGUUUACUAAAAACACAGGUCCGUGCGAAGUCGCAAGACGAUGUAUACGGACUGACGCCUGCCCGGUGCUGGAAGGUUAAGAGGACCCGUUAACCCGUAAGGGUGAAGCGGAGAAUUUAAGCCCCAGUAAACGGCGGUGGUAACUAUAACCAUCCUAAGGUAGCGAAAUUCCUUGUCGGGUAAGUUCCGACCUGCACGAAUGGCGUAACGACUUCCCAACUGUCUCAACCAUAGACUCGGCGAAAUUGCACUACGAGUAAAGAUGCUCGUUACGCGCGGCAGGACGAAAAGACCCCGGGACCUUCACUACAACUUGGUAUUGGUGUUCGGUACGGUUUGUGUAGGAUAGGUGGGAGACUUUGAAGCACAGACGCCAGUUUGUGUGGAGUCGUUGUUGAAAUACCACUCUGAUCGUAUUGGACACCUAACGUCGAACCCUUAUCGGGUUCACGGACAGUGCCUGGCGGGUAGUUUAACUGGGGCGGUUGCCUCCUAAAAUGUAACGGAGGCGCCCAAAGGUUCCCUCAACCUGGACGGCAAUCAGGUGGCGAGUGUAAGUGCACAAGGGAGCUUGACUGCGAGACUUACAAGUCAAGCAGGGACGAAAGUCGGGACUAGUGAUCCGGCACCCCCGAGUGGAAGGGGUGUCGCUCAACGGAUAAAAGGUACCCCGGGGAUAACAGGCUGAUCUUCCCCAAGAGUCCAUAUCGACGGGAUGGUUUGGCACCUCGAUGUCGGCUCGUCGCAUCCUGGGGCUGGAGCAGGUCCCAAGGGUUGGGCUGUUCGCCCAUUAAAGCGGCACGCGAGCUGGGUUUAGAACGUCGUGAGACAGUUCGGUCUCUAUCCGCCGCGCGCGUCAGAAACUUGAGGAAACCUGUCCCUAGUAC